GGGGAUUUAGCUCAGUGGUAGAGUGCUUGCCUGGCAAGCAUGAGGCCCUGGGCUUGGCCCUCAGCUCCAGAAAAAACAAAAAGAAAAAAAUGAUUAUCAAUUCUUUCAGACCCCA
rnacentral:tRNA from 1 species